rnacentral:lncRNA from 9 species
CAGGUUUCUUACACUGAAAAGACUCUCAGACCUUCCAUCUCCCAGUGCCCCAGAGUGGCUGUUAUCCUCCAUCUGGUCCAGAGGAAGGGAUGGAGCUUUCUCCUCUCACUGAAGCUGGAGUGCAGAGGUCAAAAGAAAGACAUGUAGAUAGGUGCUAGCUGGAUUCAAAAGUGUCAGAAUCAGGGAGGACUUCACCUUAUAAUAUCAGAAAAAUAAUGAAACAGAAGUUUUUGUUUUUUUCCACACCCAUGGUAUGUGGAAGUUCCCAGGCCAGGGAUCAACCCAAGUCCUGCAGUGACAACACUGGAUCCUUAACCCACUGUGCCACAAGGGAACUCCCUAGAAGCUUUUUUUUUUUUUGGUCUUUUUAGAGCCAAACCCGAAGCAUAUGGAAGUUCCCAUGCUAGGGGUCAAAUUGGAGCUGCAGUUGCUGGCCUACACCACUGCCACAGCAACGUCAGAUCUGAGCUGUGUCUGCACAAUGGAUGUUGGAUCUUUAACCCAGGAGCCAAACCCGAAUCCUCAUGGAUGCUAGUCAGUUUCAUUACUGCUAAUCCACAAUGGGAACUCCUGGAAGGCUUCAUAAGUAAGGUCUUUUCUCAUAGUAGCAGUAUUCAUUGAGUCAUAAGUGUUAUGUGGGUCUUACCUUAUUAGUCACAGACAAUCCUAUGUGAUAGAAACACUUGUAAUUCCUACUUUAUAAAUGAAGAAAUUGAGGCCCAAGAAUAUUAGGUAAGUUGGUCAAGCUAAGGUUUGAACCCAAGCAGUCUGACACAGCAGCCUGAACCCCGACCCCCUCAUUACACAGUUCUGCCUCUUUUAAGCAGACUACCCUGGGAAGCUUGCUGGGGGAGGAGGAACUUUGUCACAAGGCUCAACCCCAAAGAAAUUUCUCUGGACCUUUAGAAGGAGAUUCACAAUGCCUCUCCAUCUCAGUUCUAGGUCGGCUUGCUAAGCCAACAAUAAAGCUAUCCUGUGCCUUCCAUAACCUUCUGCUCCAAGAUAGCAGGGAAUUUAUUCGGCCAGGGAUUCACACCUCAGAGGCUCAUCUGCCUCAGCAACUAGAGGUGGCCCAGAGAUGGUGGGAAGUGCCAGCCACCUUUCAGAUGGAAAGCUGCUGGGUGUGCUUGCCCUCUGCCAGAGCUCCAAGAGGGAACGAGCUUAAAUUCUCGUGAUGCUGAGAAGAGGGCAGGAGCGGAUAAGUCAAGCACACAAACCAUGGAGAAAAACUUAAGGAUACUUUCCACACCCCAAGCAACAGGCACAUCCCUCUGGGGUGCAACCUAGGUAAGUAAGCCCUGACCACACAGGGGUAUGGAUGCCCUCGGCUGCCUAAGGAGAAGCUUGAUUUGAGGUCUAAGGAAGGCAUCUCCCUUGUGGAAAUGGUACCUGACGGUGACCUGGGCUCUGUGGGGGUGGUAGGCAGAUGUAACAACGUGUGUGGUCGCACCGUUUACAAUACCACACCUUCAUAACCAACCACAUCUCAUUUGAUCCUUUUUUUUUUUUUUUUGGUCUUUUUUUUAGGGCCACACCUGCAGCAUAUGGAAGUUCUGGGACUCAGGGUGGAAUCAGAGCUGCUGCGCAGCUGAGGGGCAACAUGGGAUCCGAGCCACAUCUGCAACCUACACCGCAGCUUGUGGCAACGCCAGAUCCUUUAACUCACUGAGCGUAGCCAGGAUCAAACCCAAAUCCUCACAGAUACUAACUGGGUUCUUCGCACACUGAGCCACAGCAGAAACUCCACACAUCUCAUGUGACCCCAGUGCCUACUCUCUAGGUAGCUUCCUCACCCUCAUUUCUCAGAUGAGGGAAACUGAGGCUCACAGAAUUUUCUGAGUGGCCAGAAACCCAGGGUUUCUGACACACGGUCUUUCCCUUACACGGCAGUUUGGCCUGGGGAAGUCAUGCAAAAUCUCACAGAGCAGGAAACCAUGACUUCUACAGAGACGGCUUCCUCCCAACCCUGGGCAAGGCCCACGGCUGAUGCAAAGUCAUGGUGGUAAAAAGGGAGUGUGCAGGGGGCCACGCUGAUGAGGACUGGUGGCUGGAUAGCGGCAGGAGCAGCCAAGGGUACUAGGGGGCUGAGCUGGACUAGGCUACUCACCCAGGGUGUGGCUCAGUGCCCAAGGAGAACAGUGAGGCUAUGACUGGCCUAGGGGCUGCCCUGUGCCCAGGAGCAGGGGGCCUAGCCUGAGGGAGGCCUGACUGUAUCCAGGUCUUUGAUGACCACGGGUAAAGAUAAGAUAAAGCCAGUCUCUUAUUUUUAAGCCAGUCAAAG